UAUCGUAAAUAGAACCAGAGGUUGUUACCGUGAUAUACCAUCUCAUUCGAUGCAUAUUCAUGCUGAUUAUACUGGUGGGCUUUUGUUGUGAAAUCAGGUCUUCAAGUGAUAAAUCGUCUUUACAAUUUCUAGACAAGACUAAAGGAGUUUUAAAUAAUUUCCAGGUUACAAUCCUGAAUUCUUUCUACCACCGGAGUCAUGUGUGUUACGCAAUCGUCACAUUAGCAUGAGUUGCAUUUCCAUCUAGAGUCCCCGCAAGGUCAAAAGAAAAAAAUUAGGUUUUUGCGUUGUUGUUUUUUUUUUUUUUUUACUUCAUGCCAUUUUCCUUGAUUUAUUAUUGCAAUAAAAACAUGCAACUAGUUCUGUAAACACUAUAACAAUUUGAUUUGAUCUGAAGAACUUUUCGUAAUCUUUUUUUGUCUUUUCUAAAAUGACCUUGUACGUACUUUGUUAAGUUGAUUGAUGUUAUUAUCCUUUUCACUCAAUCAGGAAAUUGUUUCAUUUGUACUUACGAUUUCUUUCUAUAUAUCCGUGACAAAAAUUGUUUAGCUGACCUUAUUUAAAGCUGUUUGCUUUUGCUCUCUUCAUGAUUCAGCAAUGACCGGGGUAAAAUUUGUUGCCAUCGUUCUCUUUUUCUGUCUGUCUAGCAUAGUUGCAGGACAGAUACAAAGAUAUGGUCCUUGUCCUGGAGGGGCGUGGCCUGCCGAGCUGAGAUUGUGUCAGUGGGACUCCCAUUGUGAACGUCACCUGGGACUCGGUUUCUGUCAUCAUCUACCCCCGUAUCAGCGAUUUGGCAUUUGCUGUCCUUAUUUGUAUGGUUGAGACACCAAUCGCCACAUGAGGAGACGAUAUACGCCGAGAUAUUGGAACGUGAUACGAAAUAAAAUUAAGAAAUGAUA